UACAGAGGUCUCAAGCGUUGUUCGGAUUCAUUGGGCGUAAAGGGUGUGUAGGCGGACAAUUAAGUCAGGGGUGAAAUCCCGAGGCUCAACCUCGGAACUGCCUUUGAUACUAUUUGUCUUGAAUGUUGUUGAGGUGGGCGGAGCGGGUCAUGUAGCGGUGAAAUGCAUAGAUAUGACCCGGAACACCGAUUGCGAAGGCAGCCCGCUAAGCAACUAUUGACGCUGAGGCACGAAAGCGUGGGGAUCAAACAGG
rnacentral:rRNA from 1 species